UCCCUGAUGGCUCAGUGGUAAAGAAUCUGCCUGCCAAUGCAGGAGACACGGGUUCAAUCCCUGGUCUGGGAA
rnacentral:tRNA from 1 species